GCCCACAUUGAACUGUCAACCACGUUCACACAAACAAAAAGUCAAUGCUUUGUCCACUCCACAAAGACCUGCAGUCGUCAUUGGUUAGCGGUUCAAUAUUUCUCCAUCCAAAGCAGUACUGAAAGACUCAGCUUGUGGAAAUUCUGUAGAAGAAAAAAAGAACCGUACGUGUGGCAAUUUCUUGUGGUUUGCCAUCCAUUUUUUUAUUUUAAUACUGUAGCACUUUUGUUUGUAUUUGAUAAUUAUUGUUUAACCAUAGGUUAACUAGACUCAAAAGAUUCGUCUCGUCAAUUACAGUCAACUAUGCAAUUAAUUAUUUUUUAUCUUUAUUUAACGUUCCAUGUAUGUAUCCAAGAUUCGAUGUGACGAGAAAUUUUGAUUUUUUUUAAGAUUUUGAGAUGAACUAAAUAAGGCCUGAAUGCUCGUGGGGAAAACCUUUUGAAAUUUAUACGAGCGGGGCCGUGGCGGCUUUCAUGCCUUGUUUAGUUCGUUGGUUGAAGUUUUUUUUUACUAUAGCAUUUUCGUUUGUAUUUGAUAAUUAUUAUUCAAUUAUUGACUAAUUAGGAUUAAAAAUUCAUCUCGCAAAUUACAUAUAAACUAUGCAAUUAGUUAUUUUUUAUCUAUAUUUAAUGCUCCAUGCAUAUGCCGUAAGAUUCAAUGUGAUAGAGAAUCUAAAAAAAAUAGAUUUUGGAUGUAACUAAACAAGGUCUCAAACAAGUCAUGGAAAUCUUUUAUCUUUGCCGAAAAAAGGGAAAGUGAGAGGACUCAUGAAGUCAGGUGCACCGAGCGCAGUGAGGUUGGAGACUGAGGAGGUGUUUGGUUGGGGGCUGUUAAAAUUUAACAGUUGUAGUAUUUUUAUUUUAUUUGACAAUUAGUAUCUAAUUAUAGACUAAUUAAGCUGAAAAGAUUUGUCUCGCAAUUUAGUUUCAUAAAUAGUUUACAUUUCGUACUUUAUGUAUGUGUUUAAAUAUUCG
rnacentral:lncRNA from 1 species